GGCAGCUUUUGCCUUAGCAAAUG
rnacentral:miRNA from 10 species